rnacentral:SRP_RNA from 1 species
GCCAGGCGUGGUGGCUCACGCCUGUAAUCCUAACACUUUGGGAGGCCGAGGCGGGAGGAUCACUUGAGCCCAGGAGUUGGAGACCAGCCUGGGCAACAUAGUAAGACCCUGUCUCUU